rnacentral:lncRNA from 1 species
UUUCUAAUGGCCUCUUUAUCUUACUUGAUAGUUUUUUUCUUCUCUUAAGGGUGCGUUUGGUUCGCGCUAUCUUUUAAAGAUUCCUAGCAAUUCAAUGGGAAUAAAAAAAUAUGACGGUGUUUGGUUAAACGCACUAAGUAAUCUAGUUGGUAAUAUUGGAUUCACUUGGGAAUAAGAUUCACUCCAAAGUACUAAUCUCAUUCCCUUGAGGGAGGGUGGGUAUCCUCAUAUUAAUGGAUUGGGAUAAUCAUAAUAUGUCUAAUCCCUUUCUUUCUUCCUAUCCGCCGGCUAAUUGAUAUUAUUUUUCUUUACACUCUAACCUUAUAUCUCUCUCUAAACUUAUUUUUCUCCCUAAAAUUCAACUUUUUUUUCUCUCUCUAAACUAAGCUUUCUCUCUCUCUCUCUUUCUAAAAUUUCAACUCUCUCACUCCCUCUAAUUUCGACUAUAUUUUUCUUUCUAUUUUUUUAAUUAUGCUCUCUCUCUCUAACUUAUACUCUCUCUCCCUUUUUUCUAAAAAGAUGUUGAAACUUUUGGUAACAUUAUCUAAAAUUAAUUAAAUAAAUAAAUAAAUUAAUUGUAUAUUUUUUGUAAUAUUAAAUAACAUGGCUAAUUAAUAUUACUGUGUGAACCAAACACAGGAAUUCCACAUUCUUAGUAAUAGGAUGAAUAGGAAUAAGAUUCUCGGAUAUCUUUUAUUUCUAGUAAUAUUUCAUAAUGCGAACCAAACGCACCCUAAGAGUUAUAUUUAUUCUAUUUUUUUUAAUGGUUCUU